rnacentral:sRNA from 1 species
GUCCCAGAGAACUAUGACGAUAUCCCAGCUGAAUACAAGUCCCUUAUCCCAGCCGAGGUCUCCGAGCAUCUUAAGUCCAUCACCCCAGAAGAGAAGGCUAUUCUUAAGGAGG